AUACGGAGGGUGCGAGCGUUAAUCGGAAUUACUGGGCGUAAAGCGUGCGUAGGCGGUUUGCUAAGUCAGAUGUGAAAGCCCCGGGCUUAACCUGGGAACUGCAUUUGAUACUGGCAGACUAGAGUAUGAUAGAGGGGGGUAGAAUUCCUGGUGUAGCGGUGAAAUGCGUAGAUAUCAGGAGGAAUACCAGUGGAGAAGGCGGCCCCCUGGAUCAAUACUGACGCUGAGGUACGAAAGCGUGGGGAGCGAACAGGAUUAGAAACCCCAGUAGUCC
rnacentral:rRNA from 1 species